AAGUCGUAACAAGGUUUCCGUAGGUGAACCUGCGGAAGGAUCAUUACUUUCAGUACUUUGGGGGCUGUCAGUCUAUAUCACUAUAGCAAGCCUCCGUCUGAAACCCUUGUCUUUUGCGUACCUUAUGUUUCCUCGGCGGGCUUGCCCGCCGGUUGGACAACCUUACAACCUUUUUAAUUUUCAAUCAGCGUCUGAAAAAACAUAAUAAUUACAACUUUCAACAACGGAUCUCUUGGUUCUG
rnacentral:misc_RNA from 1 species